ACUUAAAUAGCUUAUAUUUAGAGUUUAAUAUUGAAGAUAUUAAGGAGAUUAAUUAAAUCUUUAAGUA
rnacentral:tRNA from 1 species